UACCCGCUGAACUUAAGCAUAUCAAUAAGCGGAGGAAAAGAAACUAACAAGGAUUCCCCUAGUAACGGCGAGUGAAGCGGGAAAAGCUCAAAUUUGUAAUCUGGCGCCUUUGGCGUCCGAGUUGUAAUCUCGAGAAGUAUUUUCCGCGCUGGACCGCACAUAAGUCUGUUGGAAUACAGCGUCAUAGUGGUGAGAACCCCGUAUAUGGUGCGGAUGCCCAGUGCUUUGUGAUAUACUUUCGAAGAGUCGAGUUGUUUGGGAAUGCAGCUCAAAUGGGGUGGUAAAUUCCAUCUAAAGCUAAAUAUUGGCGAGAGACCGAUAGCGAACAAGUACCGUGAGGGAAAGAUGAAAAGCACUUUGGAAAGAGAGUUAACAGUACGUGAAAUUGUUGGAAGGGAAACGCUUGAAGUCAGACUUGCAUUUUGGAGUUCAGCCGCAAGGUGUAUUCUCCAAUUCGCAGGCCAGCAUCAGUUUUCGGGGGUGGAAAAUCGCGGUUUGAAGGUAGCAGCCUCGGCUGUGUUAUAGCUUUCCGCUGGAUUCAUUUUUGGGGACUNNNGAAUGCAGUACGCUUUUUGCAAGAUUUUAGAUC
rnacentral:rRNA from 1 species